rnacentral:rRNA from 1 species
CAGAGGUUACUGCUAUCGRGCAYWCSRMUAAGCCAUGCGAGUUGAAUGUUCUUCGUGAACAUGGCGGACUGCUCAGUAACACGUGGACAACCUACCCUUGGGUCCGGCAUAAUCCUGGGAAACUGGGAAUAAUUCCGGAUAGGUCACCGAUGCUGGAAUGCGCGGUGGCCGAAAGCUCCGGCGCCCGAGGAUGGGUCUGCGGCCUAUCAGGGUUGUAGUGGGUGUAACGUACCUACUAGCCUACGACGGGUACGGGUUGUGAGAGCAAGAGCCCGGAGAUGGAUUCUGAGACACGAAUCCAGGCCCUACGGGGUGCAGCAGGCGCGAAAACUUUACAAUGCGGGAAACCGUGAUAAGGGGAUCUCGAGUGCCAGCAUAUAAUGUUGGCUGUCCAGAUGCCUAAAAAGCAUCUGUUAGCAAGGGCCGGGCAAGACCGGUGCCAGCCGCCGCGGUAACACCGGCGGCCCGAGUGGUAACCGCUAUUAUUGGGUCUAAAGGGUCUGUAGCCGGCCAGGUAAGUCCCUUGGGAAAUCUGGCAGCUCAACUGUCAGGCUGCUAGGGGAUACUGUUUGGCUUGGGACCGGGAGAGGUGAGAGGUACCUUGGGGGUAGGGGUGAAAUCUUGUGAUCCUCGAGGGACCACCAGUGGCGAAGGCGUCUCACCAGAACGGGUCCGACGGUAAGGGACGAAAGCUAGGGGCACGAACCGGAUUAGAUACCCGGGUAGUCCUAGCCGUAAACGAUGCUCGCUAGGUGUCAGUCACGGUGCGACCGUGAUUGGUGCCGUAGGGAAGCCGUGAAGCGAGCCACCUGGGAAGUAUGGCCGCAAGGCUGAAACUUAAAGGAAUUGGCGGGGGAGCACURCAWCKGSUSGAGCCUGCGGUUUAAUG